CCAGCCCGCAGCAUGGAAUGGAUAUGGAAAAUCCUCUUCCUGCUCACAGUGGCCACUGGUGUGGACUCCCAGGAGCAGCUGGUGCAGUCUGGGCCUGAGUUGAGGAAGCCUGGGACAUCAGUGAAGAUCUCCUGCCAGGCAUCCGGAUAUACCUUCACUAACUACGAAAUAAACUGGGUGCAGCAGCGACCUGGACAAGGGCUUGAGUGGAUGGGAGAUAUUUACACUGAUAAUGGUGAUACAAUCUACUUAAAGAAGUUCCAGGGCAGAGUCACUCUCACUGCAGACAAGUCCACCAGCACAGCCUACAUGGAAAUGAGCAAUCUGAGGCUUGAGGACACAGGCACAUAUUUCUGUGCGAGACACACACUACACAUCAACAUUUAUGGUAUCAUGUGGUAUUAUGAAAUUGAUUUCAGUUUCACGUGGAAUCAUGGUGUAGGUUCACACAAUCUGGGACAUUUCCAGAAAGGCUUUCAGAAGCUUGGACCAGCUCAAAGAACUGUGAACAAGAUCAAGAUGUCCCUCACACAAAUCUCAGCACUUAUGCAUAUUAUCUGA